rnacentral:rRNA from 1 species
GUAUGGGGAUCUGCCUGAUAGAGGGGGAUAACUACUGGAAACGGUGGCUAAUACCGCAUAAUGUCUACGGACCAAAGCAGGGGCUCUUCGGACCUUGCACUAUCGGAUGAACCCAUAUGGGAUUAGCUAGUAGGUGGGGUAAAGGCUCACCUAGGCGACGAUCUCUAGCUGGUCUGAGAGGAUGAUCAGCCACACUGGGACUGAGACACGGCCCAG